UUAUAAUAUCAGGCUCUAAUCCUUUCUUCUCCAAUGUAUCAACCAUUGAUAAUGCUGAAUCCAUGGAACCCAUCUCGCAAUAGGCUUUAAUAACUGUGUUAUAAGAAAUCAAAUCCGGUUCGAUUCCUAACUUUUCAGGUAACUGUUCUAGCAACUCCCCGGCGUUAAUGAACUUCUUUGAAUGAAGAUAAGCUGCCAAAAGGGCAUUAAAUGAGUUUACCGUACGUUGACAUUUCAAUUCAGGCAUUUCGUCGAACAGUUUAUGGGCUUGUUCGUACAUGCCAGCUUUCCCAUAAAGCGUCAUGAGGCGGAUUACGAAGCCUUCCUGGGAGAUCUCUUCGUACUUCUUUUGGUGUUGGAGGAUGUCAUCAAUCAACGAGAACUGUUUUGC
rnacentral:lncRNA from 1 species